rnacentral:rRNA from 1 species
UACGUAGGUGGCAAGCGUUGUCCGGAUUUACUGGGCGUAAAGGAUGCGUAGGCGGACAUUUAAGUCAGAUGUGAAAUACCCGAGCUUAACUUGGGUGCUGCAUUUGAAACUGGGUGUCUAGAGUGCAGGAGAGGUAAGUGGAAUUCCUAGUGUAGUGGUGAAAUGCGUAGAGAUUAGGAAGAACACCGGUGGCGAAGGCGGCUCUCUGGACCGAUACUGACGCUGAGGCGCGAAAGCGUGGGGAGCAAACAGG